GGAGACCCCCAAGUAGGGAAAUUGGGGCAAAACGCGGAGCGCUCCAGGCUCCUACGGGCUGUGCGGUGCCAGGGCUCGACUGCUGAGCGUCGUGGGCUCCGAGAGGGACGCGGGCGGAGGGCAAAGUGGGUUCAUGAUAUGAAUUGUAAAAUUGGCGACUGCGUAAUGUAAAACACUUAACAAUUGCUUAGAUUUCCUUUGGGAAAUAACUUGCUUUUAAAUUGUAAACAAAUUACAAACAAACUGCUAGUGCUUCUGGAUCUUCUUACCGAAAUGGCUGAUUCAGGAGGAUGCGGGGAGCGUCAGAUCAGGAUUGCUGAAGGAGAGCUGAGAAUGAAACCACCAUUUAUUCAGCACUCAGAAUGCUCCAGGCAGUGUAAUCUCAUUCCAUCUUCAUUCAUGACUCCAGACAGGUAUUGUUAUUCAUUGUUUAUACUUGAGAAAGCAGAUUCAGAGAAGUUAAAGUAUCUACCACAAGGUACGAAAGUAGUAAGUAGUAAUGCCAGAGUACAAGCCUAGGUCUGCUUCCAAAUUUCGUGGUUUCGGAUUUAGUGCCUUCAUUGUGUUUCACCUACAGGUUAAGAAGUUGUUGGUAAGCAAGAAAAUAUUUAAGACGCUGGGAGAAUCCAAAAAAUUGUCUAGUUGUGUGUAACAUAGUCUCAGGAUUCUUACAGUGUGCAAUUUUAUUCACCCCCUCAUAUUCAAAAUAACAGUAUCAGUUUGACCUUGAAAAAAGACCAAAAAAUGUAUAAAUUUACAGAAGUAAAAACUAGUUUAUUGAAUUACCAUUUUAAAAGGUUACCCCAAAAUAUGAGAAAGCAGUUUUAAAAGUUUUAUGACAUUACAUGGUUUUAUAUAUUAUUUUUGAUAGGGCUAGAAUUUUCUAAGAUACCAUUUGACAUUUUAUUUCAGUACCACACAGGAUUCUGCUUUUCAGAAAUAAAGGAAACAAAGUUAUCAAAACCACAUUUAUAUUUCUGCCACUUGAAAUUAUAGUUAACAGAAAUCAGACUCUUGUUUUUAAAGAUUUUGUUUAUGAAACAAAUUCUGCAAUGGUCAUUAAGCACUUUGGAGUUUUAUUUUUAAUAUCCUGGGCUUCUUCCAUUGAUACUGCAAUAUCUCCAGAUUUGCUACAUUGCUAACUGAAUGUUCAUUUUCUGUAGGACUUUGAUUGGCUUCUUUAUUGCCAUAUGGCAAUGAUGUAGAUGUUAUAAUGUAACUAAAAUAUUCCUACAAAUGCUUACUAGUAGGAUUAUUCUCAUUUUCCUUUGGGGAAACUAGUGUCGAGUUUGAAUGGUUGGUUAGAAGUUUCAAAAAAGUAAUAGGUAGAUAAAUAGACUCUCUAACUGUAGACAGAGAAAUUACAAUGACCAUAAUUUGUAAAGUGGGGGGACAUACUAUAUAUAGUAUCUUGGAAAGCACAUAAGUAUAAUUAUCCUUAGCUAAAGUUCAGUCAUCUAUUUCAUACCAUUCUACAAAA
ensembl:lncRNA novel transcript